rnacentral:rRNA from 1 species
UACGGAGGGUGCAAGCGUUGUCCGGAUUUAUUGGGUUUAAAGGGUGCGUAGGCGGUUGAUUAAGUCAGUGGUGAAAACCUGCAGCUUAACUGUAAGGCUUGCCAUUGAUACUGGUCGACUUGAGUGUAAACGAGGUAGGCGGAAUUGACAGUGUAGCGGUGAAAUGCAUAGAUAUUGUCAAGAACACCGAUUGCGAAGGCAGCUUACUAGAUUACAACUGACGCUGAGGCACGAAAGCGUGGGGAUCAAACAGG